rnacentral:rRNA from 1 species
GGGCCGCACGCGCGCUACACUGACGGAGCCAACGAGUAUAACCUUGGCCGAGAGGUCCGGGUAACCUUGUGAAACUCCGUCGUGCUGGGGAUAGAGCAUUGCAAUUAUUGCUCUUCAACGAGGAAUUCCUAGUAAGCGCAAGUCAUCAGCUUGCGUUGAUUACGUCCC